rnacentral:lncRNA from 1 species
UUCGGAUACGGGAAGUCGAGUGUUGGUGGAGCGUCCUGACCGACCGGGCCCAACACACGAAGAGGACGGAGUGAAAUUGGGACUACCGUAGAAAACGCACACGUGGGGUUAGCGGGACUGAGUAGCAAACGAUAAAUAAUCCCCACGGAGCGGCGGGAAACGGAGCCCAUGUGGCAAGACUCAGGCGGUAUACGAACCUCGUACGGAUGAUCAAAAAAUCAAUGCGAAUUUGCAAAAUGAGACAAGCAAUUACAUCAAAAGAAGAGUUGCAGUAUACAAAAAAAAAAGGAUCCCUUCAAUUACAACAACCAAAAACCAAAGGGAAAGGAAAAUAAAAUAGACACGCGGACACGCGGAAUCCCCCAUGACUUGCAUCGUCAAUAGCACCUAUCGGAAAGGAAGUAACCAAAAUCAUUGGCAGGGAGAUCACGCGCGACGCAUGGCAGGAGGAGUACGUUUUCGGUCGGAGUGGUUGCAGGUGUAGUAGGGGCUUAACAAUAUGAGGAUCGAUCACCACAUGGUCGGUAUACUCUUACCUAAGAGUCGAAAAAUACACACGACCAUCGGGAAGGAAUUCAGACAGUAAAUAAAGGACUUUCUCCCAAUAGAGGAUCAAGCUCUCUGACUCAGCUCCUCAAGAAUCAGAGAGUACAUACAUUUUUACUUUGAAUAAGAAAGAAGGCGAAAAUUUAUACAUCAUAGAAACGUUUAUUACUGAUGAUAUCCCCAAUCCGACAGAACGAC